rnacentral:lncRNA from 1 species
UCACGGAGACGGAGUCACCGUUAAAUAACGCAGAGUAAAAACAGAACAGAGAGACCUGUGCGUCAACCUGCGCAGAGGUCGAGGACCAUUUUGGUCACACGGUAAAUCUGCACGUAAGAUGAGCGGUGAAUCAGUCGGACUCUUCACGUACGGCGCCAAAGCGGCAGUAAUUUUCCAUUUAGUAAUUUACAUCAGCUGACGAUCCAUUCAUCCAUGUAGUACUUAAUUAUAUAUGCAGCCUACACGUCAAGUAAAAGCACGGGUCCCUAGCAUGGCAUGCAGCUGCUUAAAGCACCAGUAGUGCUCCCGGUUCGUUCACGCACGUAGUACUCUCGUCGUCGUCGUCGCCGUCGCCAUCCGUUCCAAAACUUUCACACGUGAUGUGACUCCGUCCACCGUGGUCAUUGGUCGUGACCACCCGCACCAUCCUUCCAUUUCCAUCCUAGUAGGUCAUCAGGGAAGCCAGCCCCGUCGCUGCGGCCGGCGGCAAGGCGGCUCCUCCCGGCCCGCCGCCAGCGCCCGGCUGCGGGCGACGNNNNN